rnacentral:rRNA from 1 species
GACGAACGCUGGCGGCGUGCCUAAUACAUGCAAGUCGAGCGAAUGACGAGGAGCUUGCUCCUUUGAUUUAGCGGCGGACGGGUGAGUAACACGUGGGCAACCUGCCCUAUAGCUUGGGAUAACUUCGGGAAACCGGAGCUAAUACCGAAUAAUUCAUUUUCUCUCAUGAGAAGAUGCUGAAAGAUGGUUUCGGCUAUCACUAUAGGAUGGGCCCGCGGCGCAUUAGCUAGUUGGUGAGGUAACGGCUCACCAAGGCGACGAUGCGUAGCCGACCUGAGAGGGUGAUCGGCCACACUGGGACUGAGACACGGCCCAGACUCCUACGGGAGGCAGCAGUAGGGAAUCUUCCACAAUGGGCGAAAGCCUGAUGGAGCAACGCCGCGUGAGUGAAGAAGGUUUUCGGAUCGUAAAACUCUGUUGUAAGGGAAGAACAAGUGCCGUAGUAACUGGCGGCACCUUGACGGUACCUUAUUAGGAAGCCACGGCUAACUACGUGCCAGCCGCCGCGGUAA